ACCAGACUCCUACGGGAGGCAGCAGUGGGGGAUAUUGCACAAUGGGGGGAACCCUGAUGCAGCGACGCCGCGUGAACGAAGAAAUAUUUCGGUAUGUAAAGCCCUAUCGGCAGGGAAGAAGCAAGACGGUACCUGACUAAGAAGCCCCGGCUAACUACGUGCCAGCAGCCGCGGUAAUACGUAGGGGGCGAGCGUUAUCCGGAUUCACUGGGUGUAAAGGGAGCGUAGACGGCCAAGCAAGCCAGGGGUGAAAGCCCGGGGCCCAACCCCGGGACUGCCCUUGGAACUGCUUGGCUGGAGUGCGGGAGGGGCAGGCGGAAUUCCUGGUGUAGCGGUGAAAUGCGUAGAUAUCAGGAGGAACACCGGCGGCGAAGGCGGCCUGCUGGACCGCGACUGACGUUGAGGCUCGAAAGCGUGGGGAGCAAACAGGAUUAGAUACCCCUGUA
rnacentral:rRNA from 1 species